UACGUAGGUGACCAGCGUUGUCCGGAUUACUGGGCGUAAAGAGCGCGCAGGCGGUCGUUCAAGUCGCGUGUGAAAGCCCCCGGCUCAACUGGGGAGGGUCACGCGAUACUGAUCGACUCGAAGGCAGGAGAGGGUAGUGGAAUUCCCGGUGUAGUGGUGAAAUGCGUAGAUAUCGGGAGGAACACCAGUGGCGAAGGCGACUACCUGGCCUGUUCUUGACGCUGAGGCGCGAAAGCUAGGGGAGCAAACGGGG
rnacentral:rRNA from 1 species